rnacentral:rRNA from 1 species
AAUCAACGCUGGCGGCGUGCCUAACACAUGCAAGUCGAACGAGAAAGGGACUUCGGUCCUGAGUAAAGUGGCGCACGGGUGAGUAACACGUGACUAACCUACCCUUGAGCGGGGGAUAACCUAGGGAAACCUGGGCUAAUACCGCAUAAUACCUACGGGUCAAAGCGAGCAAUCGCACUUAAGGAGGGGGUCGCGGCAGAUUAGCUAGUUGGUGAGGUAAUGGCUCACCAAGGCUAUGAUCUGUAUCCGGCCUGAGAGGGCGCACGGACACACUGGAACUGAAACACGGUCCAGACUCCUACGGGAGGCAGCAGUGGGGAAUUUUGCGCAAUGGGGGAAACCCUGACGCAGCAACGCCGCGUGGAGGAUGAAAUCCCUUGGGAUGUAAACUCCUUUCGAUCGGGACGAUUAUGACGGUACCGGAAGAAGAAGCCCCGGCUAACUUCGUGCCAGCCGCCGCAGUAACAC